rnacentral:rRNA from 1 species
AGCGAACGCUGGCGGCAGGCUUAACACAUGCAAGUCGAGCGGGCACUUUCGGGUGUCAGCGGCGGACGGGUGAGUAACGCGUGGGAACGUGCCCUCUGGUUCGGAAUAACUCAGGGAAACUUGAGCUAAUACCGGAUACGCCCUUUUGGGGAAAGGCUUGCUGCCGGAGGAUCGGCCCGCGUCUGAUUAGCUAGUUGGUGAGGUAACGGCUCACCAAGGCGACGAUCAGUAGCUGGUCUGAGAGGAUGAUCAGCCACACUGGGACUGAGACACGGCCCAGACUCCUACGGGAGGCAGCAGUGGGGAAUAUUGGACAAUGGGCGCAAGCCUGAUCCAGCCAUGCCGCGCGAGUGAUCAAGGCCUUAGGGUUGUAAAGCUCUUUUAUCCGGGACGAUAAUGACGGUACCGGAGGAAUAAGCCCCGGCUAACUUCGUG